rnacentral:rRNA from 1 species
GACCUGACUGCUAUCGGAUUGAUACUAAGCCAUGCGAGUCUUUGCAGUAAUGCAAGGCAGACGGCUCAGUAACGCGUAGUCAACUUACCCUAUGGACGAGGAUAAUCUCGGGAAACUGAGCAUAAUACUCGGUAUGUCAUCAUGCCUGGAAUGGUUGGUGGUUAAAAUGAUUCGUCGCCAUAGGAUGGGACUGCGGCCUAUCAGCUUGUUGGUGAGGUAAUGGCCCACCAAGGCGAUUACAGGUACGGGCUCUGAGAGGAGAAGCCCGGAGAUGGGUACUGAGACACGGACCCAGGCCCUAUGGGGCGCAGCGGGCGAGAAAACUUUGCAAUGUGCGAAAGCACGACAUGGUUAAUCCGAGUGAUUUCUGCUAAAGGAAUCUUUUGCCAGUCAUAAAACCACUAGUGAAUAAGGGGUGGGCAAGUUCUGGUGUCAGCCGCCGCGGUAAAACCAGCACCUCAAGUGGUCAGGAUGAUUAUUGGGCCUAAAGCAUCCGUAGCCGGCUCUGUAAGUUUUCGGUUAAAUCCAUGUGCUCAACGCAUGGGCUGUCGAAAAUACUGCACAGCUAGGGAGUGGGAGAGGUAGACGGUACUCAGUAGGAAGGGGUAAAAUCCUUUGAUCUAUUGAUGACCACCUGUGGCGAAGGCGGUCUACCAGAACACGUUCGACGGUGAGGGAUGAAAGCUGGGGGAGCAAACCGGAUUAGAUACCCGGGUAGUCCCAGCUGUAAACGAUGCAGACUCGAUGAUGCAUUGGCAUAUAGCCAGUGCAGUGUCGCAGGGAACCCGUUAAGUCUGCCGCCUGGGAAGUACGUACGCAAGUAUGAAACUUAAAGGAAUUGGCGGGGGAGCACCACAAGGGGUGAAGCCUGCGGUUCAAUUGGAUUCAACGC